UCUGGCUAUAAGAAUAAAAUGAGAAUCAGACAUUCAGAAAGAGUGAGGAUUAUAAUCUCCUUUCAGCACAUAUAUUUACAAGCACCAAUCUUCACUCUUUUUUCCUCCUAAAAAUGAGUUAAUUUACAAUUAAUAAUUUACUACUAGCCUUACUGUGUGUUUAAUUGUAAAUAUUUUAUACCAUCCUUUUAAUGGAAAUUUUUUCUUGAGCUUAUUUUAAUGCGAUUUUGUCCUACAUUAUGAGAUGGACAAAUAAGUAAUUUUGGCUGUUCCUUUGUUAAUUUUGCAGUAAAACUCUGGUUUUUAUUGACAUAUUGAAUCACAUUAGAACUGAAACUUUUUCUGCUUUUAGGGGGGGAUAAAAAACCCUUAGUCAGUAUUUUCAAUAAAUUUAAUUUCCAAAUAUCUUAGAAAUAGUCUGACUGUUCCAUCUUUCUUUUGUGCUAGAAUAGGAAAAAAACCCCUCUUCUCUUUGUAUCUCAUCCUGUCACCACCACUAGUUGAGGUUAACAUAUUGUCUGUCUACUUUUAAUAGAAACAUUCCUCAUGUAUUCUAACAAAUCACGUAUAUCUGAAUUCUACAUACAAAGCUGUAAUUCCAUUGAGAGUUUGCAGUGACAUUGAUAAAUGAUGUCACCAGAACCCUUUGCUUGAAUUACAAUCUUAAUUAUGUACACCUGGGUUCUUAGUAUUCCUUAUAUUAUUUCUGUCACAGCACUAUCUUGUCCUAUUCUUACUCUGAUGCUAAUUUGUUUUAUCAGUAGCCAAAGCACUGCAGCUUAGCAACGCCUGGCCACAGUGAUUAAAUGACUGUAAAUUUCUUCCUUGUUACUACUGUUUUAAAAACUGAGUGCAGCACUAAACAACAAAGUCAAUUUUUGCAUGAAGAUGAUGCAGGUUAUAUGUAAAGUUUUUGGGAGUUGUUUUUGUUUUCCACAGAGUUCUCUUAUUAGGACUAUCCAGCAUUUCUGAGUGCUUCUAGUUGUUUCAUGUCUCCUGAGAAAAGAAGAGCAAAAAGGUUUGGUUACUCAGUUAUUUUUGUGGGAGAGGAAUUCCCAUAUGGUUGAAGGUGGGAAACACUGCGUAUCGUAAGCCUGAAAAUGAGAAAUACAAGUUUCUUCUAGUUCUCAUUCUCUUGGGUUUUUUUCUAUAUUCACCUUGUGAACCUAACCAGGAUUACUUUUGUCACAGAAAAUAUGGCUUUGAGUAAAUGUAUGGCCAAUGGAAUCCCUUUAAAAAUGAUCAAUCAGGCUGUGGCUUGCUUUGCUCCGGAAGCCCCUUGAAGAGACUGGCUUACAAUAAAGGUCUGAGUCAUGCAAGUUAUUGCCUAAAACUUGGAGCCCACUCUGAAAAAAGUGACUCAAAUAAAUAACAAGAUGAAGCACAGAUACUGUUAGAAACUGCUGGCAAUAUUUGAAAAAGCUCAGUUUCAAGCCUAUUUGCAAGUGGGAUCCAAACAAAGAACUGUGGCAUAACGCAUCUGGCACAGAUGGAAUGGAGUUUGUGCCCAGCAAGUCAUCAGCUGUGCUUCAUCUUUCCUUGCCCUCAUAGCCUGGGCCGCUUCCUCCUCUACUCUGUUCCCAACAUACUCAGCAGUUCUUCCUUAACUGGCAAAUCUGUGUCAGGGAUAUUACUGAUUAUUACUGAUGCUUGGAAGAUACCACAUUGACAGCCCAUGCUGCUUUGCUAUUUUAAUGCAUCUGAAGUUGUCCGAAACCUGGUGUUAGCCGGGCUUCCAAAAGCAACGUUUCUGUGCUAAUGUGCUGCUCUGCCUGGUUUAAAAGAUGCCUCUUCCUGCCUGGUUUUAAUGUUUUCUACUGAAAAACAGUGGCUCUUUUAUUGCCCAGAUUGGUAUGCAGCAAGGCCUUUCCUCCAAAGUGCAAAGUCUGCAGAAGCAGCUCUGCUGUGCCACCACACCCAAACAUUGGCUCACCUUAACUCAACUGCUACGUGGUUUGUGCUACAUUAUUAAAUAUUGCUAAGCUUUUAAAUUUUAUUUACUUCAGUAAGAUUUUGGUCCAUUUUCUAUGAUUCAUGACUCAAUCUGUGAUGCAGAAUUAAUAAUUUUUAAUUGUCAUAAUAGCUGUGGCACCUAUGUUAUGAAAAUUAGAAAAACAGUAGCCAUCUGGUGAAUAUAAUUGGGGUCUGAAUUCUCUUUAAGUGAUUCUGUUAGAAGGCCUACCCUUUGAGGGAUGUUGUUCAGAGUUAGUAACAUUUCGUCAGUUUGAAAGAGGUACGAGAGAGAAUGCUAUAUAACAAAGUAUCCUGUGGGGUUUUGACAUAACAUGAAAAAAGUUGCUUCAUUCAAGUUCUUAGGGUAAAUUUGUUUUGGGUUGUGUUUUUUAAAUACACCUAAACUGCACAGAUUGCAUAGAGAAACUAUUUUCAAUUCUCUUGAUGCCUCCAAACAGGCAAACUGUGUUGAAGAGCUGUUGUGUCAAUGGUUUAUGUUGCAGCUGACUCAUCAUGACUUUCAUGCACACAUAAAGGUAAACAGAAAAAUUUUUGUUAAUUUGCUGAGUGCUGUGCAAUCCUUCAUGUAUCUGAAGCGAUCAUCCAUCUGAAGUUGUCUACAAUAAAUAUAUAAAAUAAAAAUGCUUUAAGUAACACAUUAUCUUUUCCAAGUCUCAUCAACAAUGAAUGCUGCAAGUAUUUGUAUAUUCAGGUUGCUUCUCAAAUUUGUGUGACAGACCAGAAGCAAAAUACUCCACCAUGAAUGGCCUGUAAGACAUCUGGGGCAGUAAGUGAUGCAGACUGUGCAAUGGCAGAAAGGAAUGCACGUUUCUGAGCUCAGCUCACUUUGGCUAUAGGCAAGCAUUUAUUUUCUGCAUUAUAUGAAAGACUCAAAGAAGUUUUAUGGUCUGUGUAAUGCAGAAAGCAAACCUCUCUGGUCAUAAUUGUCUAUGAAUUCCAGACUAGGGAUUCCCAGUCCACAAAUCCCAGCUAAUCUAUUUUUUUCCUCUUAUUUUCAUGGGACCAAUGGUCACAGGGAGUUGGGAGUCUCACACAGGCAAUAAUUUCUUCACUUCCUGUGCUUGAAGUCUAGUGAGGUGUGAAAGAUCAACCUGUCCUGACAGACCAACUAGACCAACAUGAGGAAUAUGUGUGUCUGAGUGUCAUGGAGGAAGAGGGAAGGAAGUGGUGGAAGU